GGAAGGAACUGAUGCGCUGGAACGCAUCUGAUUGUCGUCUAAUUAGGCGAAAAUGAUUCCUCUUCUUCAUGGGCGCCUGACUGGACGAGGUUUUGCCUUUUGUGGUUAUCACAUGUAGCGACGCGUGACGCUAGAAGAAAUUUUCCAUGAAACGAGCUUAUCCUCCUGCCACUGGAUGAUUCCUAGCCGAAACAGUCUUGCUGGAACCGAUGUGCCGAGUCAGGUGAAAAUGUUUGGCUUGUAGUCCCCGCCCCCCGAAGAACCAUGGAUACCUUUCUUACCAUGGAGGUCUAACUUCCUACCUCCAUUCGAAGAACUGGUUUAUGAGCUCCUUAUGAUGUCUCAUAUCAUCGACUGAACAUAUUUCUGUUCUUCUGGCUUUACCUGGAGAUGGACACUUAAGGACACCCGCACUGGCAUGGCAAAACCAUACUGGAUUCGAGAUUCAAAACAGAUCAAAAGUAUAUAACAUGAUUAAUCCACGGGGCAUAUCACGCAGAUAUGCUUAAAUUUGUAAUAGGUGUCCGAGCACCGAAAUUAAUUAAACUACGGUAACAGAAAUUUUGGAAUCCUAUCCUAACAGAAUAGAGUUUAGAUUAGGUUAGAUUAUUUGAAUAUGGAAGGCACAUGAAAGUUAAUCUGCCUAAGAGAGGAGAUGAUCGUGAAUGUCUUUCUAAGGGAAAUUGGUUCGUAUUCAUGUUACACAUAGUUAAAACCACGAAAAUCAACUAUGUACCGAGUCCGUUCACCUAGGAUCGAACCCAGGUGGAACUUCCAGUAUUCAGCGGUCUUCAACCCUCGACACGCCCACCAACUUCCAGUUGGUAAAUUUGCUGAAUACACGAGCGGCUAAAACCCGCCGGGAACUGGAGAAAUUCAACCAAUCAGAGAGGACCGUUGCGCCAGGAACUUUUGGCAUCAUUUUCCGAUCGCCAAACGCAAUUUUUUACAAAACUGGUAUACAAGAACUCACUUGUUCAUUUUAUGGUAACUUGUUCGUACUUCUUGGUUAGAAGUAGUUCGUUUAUUUUGGUUAUUUUGUGGUACACUGAUAUGAUUUAAUAUUUAAUUUACUGUACGGGAGCUAAAUAUGUAAAUCUCAAUUUCGAAAACAAAUGCAACUUUAUAUGCUACUCAAUUUGCUAUCUUCAUACCGAAUAACUUUUUGAUACAUAUUUAAAUAAAGGGUAAAAAUAAUAAUUGAUAAAAA